rnacentral:rRNA from 1 species
ACAGAGGUUGCAAGCGUUGUUCGGAAUCACUGGGCGUAAAGGGCGUGUAGGCGGCGGAGUAUGUCUGACGUGAAAUCCCUCGGCUUAACUGAGGAAUGGCAUCAGAAACUGCUUCGCUUGAGUGCGAGAGAGGAUGGCGGAAUUCCCAGAGUAGAGGUGAAAUUCGUAGAUACUGGGAGGAACACCUGAGGCGAAGGCGGCCAUCUGGUUCGCAACUGACGCUGAGACGCGAAAGCGUGGGGAGCAAACAGGA